rnacentral:tRNA from 2 species
AAUAAGAUGCCUGAAAAAAAGGAUCAUUUUGAUAGAGUGAAAAAUGCAUUUUAUGCUCUUAUUA